UAAAUAAAUAAAUAAACUACCAAGCAUGCAAACAAUCGUCACAUAUGAGCUAUUUGUUUCGUUAGACUAGCCAGGUCAAGAUUGGCCACAAUCCUAAUCUGGUGAUUGGGAAGCAAAAUUGGAAAACGAGAUAAUUUAUUCCAAAUGUUCAUCUUGUCCCACUCGAAAGGUACUCAAUUGAUCCGUCUCAACCUUUGGACCACGCCUGUCCAAGUUCUUUCUCUUCGAAGUAGCUCUCUUCCUCUUGCUGGAAUGUGUCUCUCAUUGGACCAUCAUCCCUCCACAGCUCUCAGAUUUGAAAACUCCGAUGAUUACUGUUCUUCUUCUUCAAUCCGGCUUUGAAAUGCAAAAUUAGGGCUUGAUUUGUGAGGAAGAAGACUUAAUUUCGAAGGCUUGAUCUAGAUCUGCAACUCUUUAUUAAUGAGAGCCAUUUGAAACUACUAUGAAUUUGGAAGGUAACUUUUUUAUUUCUACCAUCUACCUUUCGUUUGAAAUUGCAUGAGGAAUUCUACAUUGAAACAAUUGCAGAUUACAUGGAGUAUGUGUUUGACAAAAUACUUCUGAAAAACUACUGCAAAAUUGCAUGAGGAAUUAUAUGAUAUUUUUUAAGCAUGCCUAUCAUUUGCUUUUGCAAUGGAGUCUGUCGUUGAUAUGUUGCUUAUGAUUGCUAUGUGUCCGAAGAAAUGCAUUUGAUUGAUUUAGUUAAUUAUUAUUUUGUUUAAUUAUAUUAUCAUUUAUUAUUAUAUGGAAGAGUAUCGAAUGGCAAAUAAAAGAGUUUAUAUUGUAUUUAAAAGUAGACAACCAUGGAUAUAUAAUUAUUGGCUUGAAUGUAAUCAGUAAGUGUAAGAAUUUAAAAAUAAUUUAUAUCAAGUAUAUAAUAUUAUUAAAGAAGCUGAAAUUGCAUAUGUUGAAUAUGUAGAACAAUGAGAAAUAAUCGAAAUGAGGCAAAUUCAAUACAAAACCACUGCACAUACACAUGCUCACUUGAACAAUAAGUGAAGCAAUAGUUUUAUAUUAGAUUGUUUAUUUGGAUUAUUAUCUAUGAGUGUAUUUAUUUAUUUGUUAUAUAAAUAGAUUAUCCUUAUAAAAUCUAAUAUAUAUUAUGUAUGCACUAUUUGUUAAAAUUAAAACCACAUGUGAAGUGUAUAUAUAUAUGUAUGAACUGGAAAUGGAUAUUACUAUGUUAUCAACAAGCUCUUAAUCAAACAUAAUGUUAAUUUUUUUUUUAGUUAAUUGUUAUUUGUGACUUACCAUGUCAUAAUUUUAUUUUAAUUAAUUUUUAAAAUAUUAUAUUAACAUAAUUUGUGGGUGUAAAAAAAUUACAAUUGUCUAUAAAUAAAAAUAUAUAAUAUUUAUAA